GGGUGCCCCUUCAUUUCAAGUAAGCUCAGGACUUUGCUUGGUUUUAGGGGGUAUCUGCCCUUCCCCUUAGCCCUACCCCUCGAUCAAAAGGAGAAUUGGGUUAGCCUU